GAAAAGGGGGCAAAGGGAAUAAGAGGGAAGAGGGGUAAUGCUGGCUUUCCUGGAUUUGUUGGAACUUCGGGUGACCAAGGCCCACCAGGACAAAUGCCUUGCAAAAUUGUUGAUUUCACACGCGAAAACUGCCAAAUAAAGUGGAUUGACAGCAUGACAUCUCAACGAUGAAGAGAAGCUCCACUGAGCAAUACUGUGCCCCAGGAGAUGUCAUAACUGCACACCUGUGUGCCUACAUCUUGCUGCUGCUUAUCACAAAACAGAGGAGUUUGUUCAAGAGGUAUUUCCAAAUGCCCAGCAUUCCCAACCGAAGUGGCCUUUGCCUUGGACAUGUCAAAUGAUGUCUCCCUGUUGGAUUUUGAGAGGAUGAGAGACAUUUUAUUGUCUCUGUUGAUGAAGAUGGAAAUAAGUGACAGUAACUGCCCAACAGGUGCCCGUGUGGACAUUGUUUCCUACAAUGCCAAAACCAAUUACUUGGUUCGUUUCUCAGACUACAAGGGG
rnacentral:sRNA from 1 species